GACGAACGCUGGCGGCGUGCUUAACACAUGCAAGUCGAACGGAAAGGCCCCUUUGGGGGUACUCGAGUGGCGAACGGGUGAGUAACACGUGAGUAACCUGCCCUUGACUUCGGGAUAACUUCAGGAAACUGGGGCUAAUACCGGAUAGGAAUCCUUGCUGCAUGGUGGGGGUUGGAAAGCUUCGGCGGUUUUGGAUGGACUCGCGGCUUAUCAGCUUGUUGGUGGGGUAGUGGCUUACCAAGGCUUUGACGGGUAGCCGGCCUGAGAGGGCGACCGGCCACUUUGGGACUGAGAUACGGCCCAGACUCCUACGGGAGGCAGCAGUGGGGAAUAUUGCACAAUGGGCGGAAGCCUGAUGCAGCAACGCCGCGUGCGGGAUGACGGCCUUCGGGUUGUAAACCGCUUUCAGCAGGGGCGAAGCUUGUGGUGACGGUACCUGCAGAAGAAGCACCGGCUAACUACGUG
rnacentral:rRNA from 1 species